UUGUAAACCUCUUUUCUCAAGGAGGAAGAUCUGACGUUACUUGAGGAAUAAGCAUCGGCUAACCCUGUGCCAGCAGCCGCGGUAAUACAGGGGAUGCAAGUGUUAUCCGGAAUUAUUGGGCGUAAAGCGUCUGCAGGUUGAUAUUUAAGUCUUUUGUUAAACCUUCGGGCUCAACCCGGAAUCUGCAAAGGAAACUAUAUAUCUUGAGUAUGGUAGGGGUAAAGGGAAUUUCCAGUGGAGCGGUGAAAUGCGUAGAUAUUGGAAAGAACACCAACAGCGAAGGCACUUUACUGGGCCAGUACUGACACUCAGAGACGAAAGCUAGGGGAGCAAACAGGAUUAGAUACCCUGGUAGUCCUAGCUGUAAACGAUGGAUACUAGA
rnacentral:rRNA from 1 species